GUGCUCACUUUAGCAGCACAUGCACUAAAAUUGAAACGAUACAGAGAAGAUUAGCAUGGCUCCUGUGCAAGGACCUGCAAAUUGGUGAAGUGUUCCAUACUUUU
ensembl:snRNA Gm26064 U6 spliceosomal RNA